GAGAGAGGCUCCUCUCUUCGUCUGCUUUCUGCUGAAGUGCAGUAGCGAAAUGUGCACGAUGGGAUAUGACCUAAUUGUUGAUUGUGGUGAGGCGCUGGUGUCCCACAGUUUGUGCUGCCACUGUUGUGGUUGAGGUUUUGGAGAUGGCUGUAGUCCUGCUCGGUUUCAUCAGCGUCUUGGCCUUCUGCACAGAUGCAGUAAUAUAAUGUCAUGGCAGAAACAUGAGUCUUGUGAAGUCAUACUUUGGUUUGUGUUGCAGCAAAGGAUGAUUUCCUGAUCCCAGACAUCAGUAAGGAUUCCACAACAAAGAUACCUGGAAGCACUGAUGAGGAACGUCGGUAACCUUUCACUAUGCAGCAGCUUGAUACAGAUCACUGACCAGCUGCUAAGAGGGGUCCUGACUGUCGUGUCGCUGACUGACUUUGAUUUUGAUUCCAAAAUCAACUGUACUACUGCAAAUCAGACUGUUGAUGAUAACUCUGAUUUCGCCUUGUCUGUAAAAUAAAUAAAUGUCAGUACUGGUCUGCUAA